AAGAAUUAAGUCAUAUUAUGGUAAAAAGAUAGUUCUAUUUAAUGUAAUGUAUAGGGGUAAAAUCCAAGUACGAUUAUUUAAUUUAAAGAUAGCUUAGGAGCUGAAUCUAUGAAAUCCUUGAGGGAAACUGGGAUUAGGUACCCCAUUAUUCUUGGAUGUAAAUAGAUGAAGGUCUACCAGAGUACUAUGAAUAAUGUAAAAUUUAAAACUCAAAGAACUUGGCGGUGUUUUAGACCACCUAGGGGAACCUGUCUCGUAAUCGACAAUCCACGUUGCACCUGACCUUUUUUUGUUUUCAGUUUGUAUACCGUUGUCGUCAGGUAACUUUUUAGAAGAGAGAAGUUGGCUAUAGAAAGGUGAUUUAGUACGUCAAAUCAAGGUGCAGCUAAUAAAAGGGGGAGGAUGGGUUACAGUUAYAUAGUUAUAMACGGAAGGAGGACUUAGAAGUAAAUGAACUAUYAAGCAGUCGUAGGG
rnacentral:rRNA from 1 species